rnacentral:rRNA from 1 species
CCUACGGGGGGCAGCAGUGGGGAAUAUUGCACAAUGGGCGCAAGCCUGAUGCAGCGACGCCGCGUGAGGGAUGACGGCCUUCGGGUUGUAAACCUCUGUUAGCAUCGAAGAAGCGAAAGUGACGGUAGGUGCAGAGAAAGCGCCGGCUAACUACGUGCCAGCAGCCGCGGUAAUACGUAGGGCGCGAGCGUUGUCCGGAAUUAUUGGGCGUAAAGAGCUUGUAGGCGGUUGGUCGCGUCUGCUGUGAAAGGCCGGGGCUUAACUCCGGUUUUGCAGUGGGUACGGGCUAACUAGAGUGCAGUAGGGGAGACUGGAAUUCCUGGUGUAGCGGUGGAAUGCACAGAUAUCAGGAGGAACACCGAUGGCGAAGGCAGGUCUCUGGGCUGUAACUGACGCUGAGAAGCGAAAGCAUGGGGAGCGAACAGGAUUAGAUACCCUUGUAGUC